AUACGUAGGGGGCGAGCGUUGUCCGAAUUUACUGGGCGUAAAGCGCGCGUAGGCGGGUUAUUAAGUUGGGGGUGAAAUCCCGAGGCUCAACCUCGGAACUGCCUCCAAAACUGGUAGCCUUGAGGUAUGGAGAGGGAAGUGGAAUUCCUGGUGUAGCGGUGAAAUGCGUAGAUAUCAGGAGGAACACCUGUGGCGAAGGCGGCUUCCUGGCCAUAUCCUGACGCUGAGGUGCGAAAGCUAGGGGAGCGAACGGGAUUAGAUACCCCGGUAGUCCUAGCCGUAAACGAUGGAUACUAGGUGUUAGAGGUAUCGACCCCUCUAGUGCCGCAGCUAACGCAUUAAGUAUCCCGCCUGGGGAGUACGACCGCAAGGUUGAA
rnacentral:rRNA from 1 species